AAAAAUGAUUUUAAAAAUUAUGAAAAAUACUUUUAGGGAUUUUUUGUAAAAAAAUUUGGAGCAAAAAUAAAUUAAAAAUCAAUUGAAAUUAAAUCAAAAAUAAAAAGGAAGAAGAAAAAUAUAUAUAAAAAAUAAAAUGUAAUUAAAAGAUGGCGCCAAUGGCUACUUUUCAAAAAAAGCGUGUGGCAAGCUUUGAUUAGCCAGGUUCAAACAAUUGGUAGCAAAGCGCGCGCAUCA
rnacentral:lncRNA from 1 species